rnacentral:tRNA from 1 species
AUUCAAAUAGCUUAUAUUUAGAGUAUGACACUGAAGAUGUUAGGGAGAUUAAUUUGAUCUUUGAAUA